rnacentral:rRNA from 1 species
GACGAACGCUGGCGGCGUGCUUAACACAUGCAAGUCGAACGGAAAGGCCCUGCUUUUGUUGGGUUCUCGUGUGGCGAACGGGUGAGUAACACGUGUGUAACCUGCCCUUGUCUUUGUGAUAACUUCACGAAACUGGGGCUAAUACCCGAUAGGAUCUCCUGCUGCAUGGUGGGGGUUGGAAAGUUUCGGCGGUUGGGGAUGUACUCGCGGCUUAUCAGCUUGUUGGUGGGGUAGUGGCUUACCAAGGCUUCGACGGGUAGCCGGCCUGGGAGGGUGACCGGCGACAUGGAGACUGAGAUACGGCCCAGACGCCUACGGGAGGCAGCAGGGGAAAAUAUUACACAAGGGGCGGAAGCCUGAGACAGCAACGCCGGGUGCGGGAUGACGGCCUUCGGGUUGUAAACAGCUUUCGAAUGUGAUGAAGCGUGAGUGACGGUAAUGGGUAAUGAAGCACCGGCUAACUACGUG